rnacentral:lncRNA from 1 species
CCUCUGGGACCUUUAUGUUGGGAUAGCCCUGGACUCACAGGUUGAUUUGGGGGAAGAACUGACAUGUUUCCAGCGGCGCUGAUUCUCCCCAAAGCACCACGCGACGCACUCGUUUCUCUAGGUGUCCUUUCUGUUGUCUGGUAAAGCGUUGAAUUCCCCGUGUAGGGCUAGCAGCGUCUUGUGACCCGUAUUCCUGUGUGCUUUAUGCUUUUAAUAAUGUUGUGUGUUCGCACCGGUUAUUAGGAUCGCACAGAAUGGUCUGGGGCCGUAUGUAGUUGCCACAAACGGAGCUGGGCAGAAGUCCACGCUAGUUACCGCGCUCCUGCAGCACCUUCAGAGGGCACAGAGGGACCGCACUCCUGGCCCUUUGUGGUCGGAGGCGGGACUUGCCCUGGGCAAGUCCUUGUGUUGCUUCCCAGCUGGGGUGCAUUUAUCCGCCAGUGUGGACAUCCCGCCCCCAAACCACCAGCAUCCAGGACUGUUCCUAAGGGUGGCCGCUCUCUCGGUCUUGUGGGGAGGAGACCACGGCACAGUGUUGGCUGAGCCACGCGGAGCGUGCAGUGUGGCCAGGAAGUGAGCCCCCGAAAUCAGGCUGCUCAUCAAGGCCACACAACCUCACCCAGCCUGACACGCAUUUACUAACCCCUACCCCUGUUCCACCAGGUUUUGGGUGAUUUCCUUACUUCCCAGGCGGAGGUCCCAUUCGGACAGUCGGCUGUCCCUCCUUCACGGUGCUCACCUGUGCUGCCAUGGGGACCACGGGGCUGGCCGUGGGCAGUGACCCUGCCCUUGUUCCUGCCUGUGCUGGGGGCCACUCGAAAGCCCCACAGUUCCGGACAUUUGCAGGAUGGGGAGUUUGAUACCCAGGCAAACAAACUUCACUCCACGGCCCCAAAUCCCGAGGAGGAAAAGGGGACUCCAUUCUCCCGAGUCAACACCAUACCUGACUUUGCUAAUCUUUCUGAGGAUCUCGCGUGUUUGCCCGAGGAAUUGGGGGGCAGCAUUUCUGGGCUGUUCUCCCCUGGUCUGGCCUCCAUACACGGGGACACCAGCUUCAUGGCGGUGCUCUGGUGGGAGCCCAGGAAGCCCGCAAGCCCGAGCACGGGGCGAGCGCAGGCCUGGGCACUGGCUCUGGGUUCCAAAGAUAACCAGCCUCUUGGCCACGUCACUCCCUGUUCUAGAAACGAUUCAGGCAACUUAGAUCU